rnacentral:rRNA from 1 species
AUUGAACGCUGGCGGCAUGCUUUAUACAUGCAAGUCGUGCGGCAGCGCGGGGGCAACCCAGGCGGCGAGCGGCGAACGGGUGAGUAAUACAUAGGAACGUAUCCUGAAAUGGGGGAUAGCUCGGCGAAAGCCGGAUUAAUACCGCAUACGCUCCACGGAGGAAAGCAGGGGAUCGCAAGACCUUGCGUUUCUGGAGCGGCCUAUGUCUGAUUAGCUAGUUGGCGGGGUAAUAGCCCACCAAGGCGACGAUCAGUAGCUGGUCUGAGAGGAUGAUCAGCCACACUGGGACUGAGACACGGCCCAGACUCCUACGGGAGGCAGCAGUAGGGAAUUUUGGACAAUGGGCGCAAGCCUGAUCCAGCCAUGCCGCGUGAGUGAAGAAGGCCUG